GGUCUUUUGAAUCGGGGAGGGACUCCUCCCAUCUCGGCGUAUGUGGUUCUUUGGUGUGGAACAAUCCCCGGACGCAAGACUUGCCGUUUAAUAGAUAGAACUAGAGGUUAAUACUAAAAACGUCCUUUCUUUCAUGAAACUAUUUCACAGCAUAGUGAAAACUAUGAUAAGGCAGACCUGUAGCUGGAGCUGUUCGCCCGUAGCUCGUCGCCGAAGAACGAUGUUACCCAAGUUGUUGCAUACCACAUGUUCUUUCUCUUACAGGUUGGGGGGGCAGAGUAGGCGAGGUGGCGCGAUAGAAAAUUAUUUAUUCGAGGUUGAGUUUCGAAUUAGCAAAUAACUUAUUCAACGUUCGAAUAUGGAACAGUUACUUGUUCAACGUUGAAUGUCGAACGUCAAACGAGGAACGAGGAACUAACUUCACAUCGGUUAAUCUCAUUUGGAAUUUACUAAAUCGAGGUUGCAGGAGAAGGGAGGGAUGGUUACUAACGAAGAGUGAAAUCAACUUAGGGAACCUUAGACCAUCUCCAUUUCUCCAUGCGUAGACCGACAGCGCAGCCCGUUCAAAACCAGGCCGAGCUCCCCCUGAAAUAUCAGUCCGACGCAGAAAAUUAAAGCUGAAGACUAUCACGUGUAUGUAGUGCCCGUAUGGUACGCCAUGCACUUCGCGGGCUCCGAAGGAAUGCAAUGUCGAUGAGACCAAGCCAUGGAAAGCUUAAGGAUGGAAAUAAGCAUUGAAAUGAAAUGAUGACGUAUUGAGGGCGCUGCUUAUCCUAGUCACACGUCUACAGCAUGAUAUGCAUUCUGCCCUGAUCUACAGCUGCAGAUUGAAAGGAAGCUGAGCAAGGUGACCAAUAUUGCAAGUGUGGACUUGCACAGGGCUCCCAGCUCCCCUCACAGCAGUCCAUGGAGUUGACCAAAGGAGUUGAAGAGCGGAAUACUGUCUGAAAACAUGAAUAAUAUUGAUGAUCGGCAGAAUGAUGCAAACCAAAUGAGACAGAGACAAGCAGGAUCUGCUUACUUGAAAGGGGUAGAGGGUGGUACGCUGUAAGGUAGAGCACUGUUCUUGGAGAAGGCAAACCAAUCAGUGGUAAUGGGUGUGGUAAUGCAUUGUUAGGGGCUUCCCUUGUCAUAGCGAUGAGCUGGGACCUUCACAAGUUUAAAUUCAGCAGAUGAUGACCUCAUAGAUCAAGAUUUAAUGGAGGAAAGGAGUGGAUUUCCUGAGGUGGCCCCUGAUGCAUGGAGGAGUGACUGAAAGGAACACUUACAAGCCUCCAUCUUAUGGAUGUUGGUACCAAUUCCUCUAUCUUGCCAAAGAGUGACGCUGGUGUGGACAGUGCUUGGGAGGUACCCUCAGGAGCACUGAUUGGCAGGAA